rnacentral:rRNA from 1 species
AACGUAGGAGACAAACGUUAUCCGGAGUUACUGGGCGUAAAGGGCGUGUAGGCGGUUUGUUAAGUCUGGCGUGAAAGCUCUCGGCUAAACCGGGAGAGGUCGUUGGAUACUGGCAAACUUGAGGACGGUAGAGGCGAAUGGAAUUCCUGGUGUAGCGGUGAAAUGCGCAGAUAUCAGGAAGAACACCCGUGGCGAAGGCGGUUCUCUGGGACGGUACUGACGCUGAGACGCGAAAGCGUGGGGAGCGAACAGG